GUGGUAUUAGUUCAGUGGUAGAACGCGGGACUGUGGAUCCCGAGACAGGGGUUCGAUUCCCCUAUACCACCCCA
rnacentral:tRNA from 1 species